UUAAUACCUGGCCUCUAAUACUCGAUUUUAGCGGGAUAGAGACGGGAAUAUGAAAGUAAAGUAAAAAAAAAAAACCCCAAAAAUCUAUUUUUACUGUAAAAUCACUCCAAAAAUUCACUUUCACUCUAAAAUAUCUCCCAAAAAAUUACUUUCACGCUACAAUCCCUAAUUAAGCGGCGACUUCAAUUCUAUUCAAAGUUCAGAAGGUUGCAAACUUCAUCAGUCAGAACUCAAAAGGUUGCAAAAUUCAUCACCUCAAACUCAGAAGGUUGGGGUCAAAUUUCGAUACUUUACACAAACUCUACCAUUGGAUUAUCUGCCUAAUCAAGAGUUUUGGAUAUUGAAGUUUACAAGAAGCAGAUUUUUAACGACACAUAGAUUGAACCAUCUUUUUGCUGGGAAUGUCAAGAAAAUUUUACGUUACAAUUGAGGGAUAUUAGUGAUAUGUAGUUUUUUGCUAAAUGUUUAUGAACACUAUAUUGUGACUAGCUUACAUCAUUGAUAUAAUGUGCAACUAACUGAUGUUGAUCAUUUUUGGUAAUAUUUUAUGAAAAGAAAUAUCAUCUA